UCCCCGGUGUGUCUUGUCCUCAUUUAACUCACUCACUUUCAAGUGUCCUUGGCGUGUGAAUCACAUGACUUUUGAGCUAAGGUGCCUCUCACUGGCAGAAUAUCCAGAGUACAAGGAAGAACCCCAGGUGUUUGAUGGAAACUUCCCAUCAGUGAAGCAAAAGCGGAUACAUGUGACCUUCCGGCCCCAGCUGUGUGCCUGGCUGGACUCUGGGUCUCGGGAGAAAACUGAGCCGCGUGAGACUUUGCCUCUGUUCUGGUGCCUCAAUGCUUCAAGUCUCCCUAUUUCAACACUGGAAACGAUGGUAAAGACAACUCAAGAUAACGAAUUGAAGAUCAAGUCUGAUGAGACUGUUCUUCUGAAGACACCAAUAACUGCAGUGAUCCCCUGGGGCACCUCAAGAGACUAUGUAAGACAUCCCCAAAUGACCAUGUCAUGCAGAGCAGAAGUCAAGACAAUUAUCCAACCAAUGCCUGUCUUCCACUGGCUGGGGAGGUAAUGUCAUGGAGCACAGACCUACAGAUCAUUUACCUCUGCAGGAUUCGAGAAUGAGCAACCAUGCCAGCAAAAUGCCUUAUGGCUAUGGUCAGAAGUAGCCUGGUUGCUAACUCUCUCUGCCCACCACCUCUGCUCAUCUUCUGUGAUAGGAAUUCAUCAAGACAGCUAUGAUGGAUACUAAUGUUACCUUCCCCUGCUAAACACAGCUCCAUUUGCUUUAUCUUCAGAGAAGCUUCAGAACUUCACUGCCAUUCAAGGCACUACUGCAGGCUGAGCCAUCAGUGUAUUUUGCCUGGAGUACAGGCCACCUCCUUCAGUCCCCUGCUUCUUUCCUUUGUUCCCCCAAGUUCAACACCCUGUGUGUCUUCCUAGAACUUGAGGCCACCCCAUGACACCCACUGCCUCAGAGACCAGCUAUAUUAGUCCAUUUUCAUGCUGCUAUGAAGAACUGCCCGAGACUGAGUAAUUUAUAAAGGAAAGAGGUUUAAUUGGCUCACAGUUCUGUAGGGCUGGGAAGGCCUCAGGAAACUUACAGUCAUGGCAGAAGGGGAAGCAAAUGUGUACUUCUUCACAUGGCGGCAGGAGAGAGAAGUGUGUAGAGCAAAGAGGGGAAAAGCCCCUAUAAAACCAUCAGAUCUCGUGAGAAAUCACUCACUAUCAUGAGAACAGCAUGGGGGAACUGACCCCACGAUCUAAUCACUUCCCAUGAGGACCUUCCCCCAACACGUGGGGAUUACAAUUCCAAUUACAAUUCAAGAUAAGAUUUUGAUGGGAAUACAGAGCCAGAUGAUAUCACCAUCCAAAUUUCUUACAGUGCCUCCAGGCUCCCCAGGGCUCCUACACUGAAGGCUCUGUGGCCCUUCCUCCUGCCACUGUCCCCUCAUUGAUUUCACUCCAAGGAAAGUGGCCUUUCUAAGGUGCCCAGACAUUCUGCCACACUUGGGCCUCAGGACACUGCCCUGCCCCUCCCUAGAAUCUGCAGGCCCUCUCUUGAGGACUGAGCUGAGCGUUUGCUCAGAGGUGCCUUCCAUGACUACCUUAUUCAAAAUCACAACCGCACCUCUGCUAUCCAACAUGCCUGCUUAAUUCUUCCCCAAAACAUAUCUAUUAUGUAAUAAUCUAUAUAUUUUACUUAUUUAUUUAGUUUUUUGCCUGUUUCCCCUUGCUUGAAUGUCAGCUCCAAGAGUUCCAGGAUUUAACUCUGUUUUGUCCACUCUGUCCACCAUGCCUGAAACAGUGAAGGGCACCGUGAACUUGGGAACACCUAUUCUGAUGCUCUAAGUGCCUCAUGUAAGUUAAUCUGCUUAAUCCUCAUACCUCCCAUAAGAGUAGGUACCAUUGUCAUUCUCAUCUUACAGAAAGAACACUAGAGCAAGCACUGUGACGCCAACAACAUGGCUGAAUUCAUAGUGUUCAUGAGUGUGAGAUGGGUCUGGCUCCAGAGUCUGUGUUCUUCAACAUUGCAUGACGACGAGAGCCAGGAGAUACACUGUUGGCACAACCACUAUGGAGAACAGCGUGGAGGUUUCUCAAAAAACUGAAAAUAGAACUACCAUAUGAUCCAGCAAUUCCACUCCUAGGUAUAUAUCCCAAUGAAACAAAAUCAGUGUCUUCAAGAGGUAUCUAUAUCUAUCAAGUAUCUAUCAAGAGAUAAAUGAAUAAAGAAAAUGUGGUCUAUAUAAAUGAUGGAAUACCAUUCAGCCUUGGAAAAUAAUGAAAUCCAGUUAUUUGUGAUAACACAGAUGAACAUGAAAGACAUUAUGUUGGAUAAAAUAAGUCCAACACAGAAACACAAAUGUCACAUGAUCUCACUUACAUAUGGAAUCUAAGAAAGUCAAACUCAUAGAUGCACAAAGUAAAAUAUGGUUGCCAGAGGACAGGGUGGGAGAUGGGGAGGUGUUAAUAAAAGGGUACAAAGUUUUAGGUAGACAGGAGGACUAUGUUCUGGAGGUCUUAUUUUUCAGCAUGGUGUCCAUUGUUAAUAAUGUAUACUUAAAAAUUGCCAAGAAGGCAGAUCUUAAGUGUUCUUACCACAAAAAAAGAUAAAUAUAUGAGGCGAUGGAUAUAUUCAAGCUUAAUUUAGUCAAUUUACAAUGUAUGCACAUAUAUCAAGACAUCACAUUGUACACCAAAUUCAGUUAUGCAUUGCUUAGCAAUAGGGAUACAUUCUAAAAAAUGCAUUGGUAGGCAAUUUUGUCAUUGUGCAAUCAUCAUAGAUUGUACUGACACAAACCUAAAUGUCAUAGCCUACUACACACCUAGGCUCUAUGGUAUAGCCUAUUGCUGUUAGGCUACACACCUGUAUAGCAUGUUACUGCACUGAAUACUGUAGGCAGUUGUAACACAAAGUAUUUGUGUACGUAGACAUAUCCAAACACAGAACAGUUAAUAUGUUGCACUGAAAUCUUAGUACAGUACUGGAGGCUAGAAAGUUUUCAGUUCUAUUAUAAUCUUAUGGUCUGUCUUUGAAGCAUCCUUAUGUGAUGCGUGACUGUGAAUACAAUUUUAAUUUGUCUGUUAUAUACUUUAAUAAAGCUGGGGUAAAAGAA